UCACUUCAGCAGCACAUAUGCUAAAACUGAAACAAUACAGAGAUGAUUAGCAUGGCCCUGCACAAGGAUAACACGCAAAUUCAUGAUUCAAAAGUCCAGAUAGUU